rnacentral:rRNA from 1 species
AUUGAACGCUGGCGGCAGGCCUAACACAUGCAAGUCGAGCGAGCGGCGGGCGGGUGAGUAAUGUAUGGGGACUGCCCUAUAGAGGGGGAUAACUACUGGAAACGGUGGCUAAUACCGCAUACUAUCGGAUCACCCAUAUGGGAUUGGCUAGUAGGUGGGGUAAAGGCUCACCUAGGCGAGGAUCUCUAGCUGGUCUGAGAGGAUGAUCAGCCACACGGGGAUUGAGACACGGCCCAUAUCCUACGGGGGGCGGAAGUGGGGAUUAUGGCACAAGGGGCGCAGGCCUAUGGCAGCCAUGCGGCGUGUAUGAAGAAGGCCUUAGGUUUGUAAAGUACUUUCAGCGGGGAGGCGUUACCCGCAGAAGAAGAACCGGCUAACUCCGUGCCAGCAGCGGCGGUAAAC